rnacentral:rRNA from 1 species
CCAAUAGCGUAUAUUAAAGUUGUUGCAGUUAAAAAGCUCGUAGUUGAAUUUUGGAAUCAAUGGGUUGGUCAUGCCAAUCGGUAUGUACUGGCUUAAUUGGUUCUCACCUUCUAAGGAACCGUGAUGUCAUUAAUUUGAUGUCGUGGGGAAUUAGGACUGUUACCUUGAAAAAAUUAGAGUGUUUAAAGCAAGCUCACGCUUGAAUACAUUAGCAUGGAAUAAUGAAAUAGGACAUCGUAUUCUAUUUUGUUGGUUUCUAGGAUCGAUGUAAUGAUUAAUAGGGAUAGUUGGGGGCAUUAGUAUUCAAUUGUCAGAGGUGAAAUUCUUGGAUUUAUUGAAGACUAACUACUGCGAAAGCAUUUGCCAAGGAUGUUUUCAUUAAUCAAGAACGAAAGUUAGGGGAUCGAAGACGAUCAGAUACCGUCGUAGUCUUAACCAUAAACUAUGCCGACUAGGGAUCGGAUGAUGUUAAUUUUAUAAUGACUCAUUCGGCACCUUACG